rnacentral:rRNA from 1 species
GGAGGAAAAGAAACCAACAGGGAUUCCCUGAGUAACGGCGAGCGAAAAGGGAAGAGCCCAGCGCCGAAUCCCGAGGUCUCUGGCCUCCGGGAAAUGUGGCGUUUAGGAGUGAGCGUGCCGGAGGUUGACCUGGCUGCAAGUCCCCCUGACCGGGGCAUUGACCCAGAGUGGGUGCGAGGCCCAUAGUGGCCGGGUCUCUUCCGGAUGCGAUCUCCUUGGAGUCGGGUUGCUUGGGAGUGCAGCCCUAAUCGGGUGGUAAACUCCACCUAAGGCUAAAUACGGCCGUGAGACCGAUAGCAAACAAGUACCGUGAGGGAAAGUUGCAAAGAACUUUGAAGAGAGAGUUCAAGAGUACGUGAAACUGCUCAGAGGCAAACGGGUGGGUCCUCGAAAUCCUGUGGCGGGAGGAUUCAGUCGGAAGGCUGGGGCGUGCGUUUGGCGAUACCACUAGGUUCUGUCACUGGACCGCAUCGCCUGCACGCACUCCGGUCGGUACGACGCAUUUGUUUCCCGUCCGAUGGACGCCGCAACCGGUUGGGAGACGGCCUGAAGGUCGGAUGAGGCAGGUGGCCGGUGGUUUUCCCCUCGGGGUUGCCGUCGGUGUCUAGCCGUUCCGUCAGUGGCUCGUAACCCGACCGUGGUGUCGCGAAGCCCCCACAUGGGCUUCACCGCCUCCUCCACUUGGAUGCGGACGGAUGCGGCAGCGGUUCUUCAUUCAUCGCGCGCACAGGCUCACCCUGUGGCGUGGCGAGGAGGAGUUCCGGAUGGUCGUGCCCGAUCCGUCGGAGGCUGGCGGUUGGCGGCGAGUAGAUCGGUCACCCACCCGACCCGUCUUGAAACACGGACCAAGGAGUCUAACAUGUGUGCGAGUCAAUGGGUCUCGAAUAAGCCCAGAGGCGCAAUGAAAGCAAAGGCCGGACAUGACGCCGGCUGUGUUGGGAUCUCUCCGCCUACGAGCGGGGAGCGCACCAACGACCCGUCCUGUCCGAUUUAUCGGUGGGGCGGAGUCUGAGCAUACACGUUGGGACCCGAAAGAUGGUGAACUAUGCCCGGACAGGACGAGGCCAGAGGAAACUCUGGUGGAGGUCCGUAGCGGUUCUGACGUGCAAAUCGAUCGUCAGAUCCGGGUCUAGGGGCGAAAGACUAAUCGAACCAUCUAGUAGCUGGUUCCCUCCGAAGUUUCCCUCAGGAUAGCUGGCGCUCGUAGAAAUCAGUCUCAUCCGGUAAAGCGAAUGAUUAGAGGCCUUGGGGCCGAAACGACCUCAACCUAUUCUCAAACUUUAAAUGGGUGAGAUGUCCGUCUUGCAUGACUGAAGACCGGACGUUUCGGAUGAGAGUGCCCAGUGGGCCACUUUUGGUAAGCAGAACUGGCGCUGUGGGAUGAACCAAACGCCGGGUUACGGCGCCCGAUGCGAGACGCUCAUGAGACCCCAUGAAAGGUGUUGGUUGCUCUAGACAGCAGGACGGUGGCCAUGGAAGUCGGAAUCCGCUAAGGAGUGUGUAACAACUCACCUGCCGAAGCAACUAGCCCUGAAAAUGGAUGGCGCUCCAGCGUCGAGCCCAUACCCGGCCGCUGCGGCAGAACUCCUCACGGAGACUUACGCCGCAGCGAGUAGGAGGGUCGCAGCGGCGAGCGUUGAAGGUGCCGGGCGUGAGCCCGCCUGGAGCCGCCGCUGGUGCAGAUCUUGGUGGUAGUAGCAAAUACUCAAGUGAGAACCUUGAGGACUGAAGGUGGAGAAGGGUUCCAUGUGAACAGCAGUUGAACAUGGGUCAGUCGGCCCUAAGGGAUCGGAGAAAUCCGUUCUGAAGCGGGACGUUAGACCUUAGUGUCAGACACAUACCGUGUUUGUCCCGCUGCCGACCGAAAGGGAAUGGGGUUAAUAUUCCCCAACCCGGACACGGAGAUAGUGCCCUCGGGCACAAGUGCGGUAACGCAACCGAACUCGGAGACGUCGACGGAGGACCCGGGGAAGAGUUGUCUUUUCUUUGUAAGGGUUCGUGUCCCUGGAAUCGGCUCGUCCGGAGAUAGGGAUGCUGUUCCCGUAAAAGCACCGCGGCUCUUGCGGUGUCCGGUGCGCCUCUGUCGGCCCUUGCAAAUCCGAGGGAGAGAGUGUGAUUUUCGUGCCGGACCGUACCCAUAUCCGCAGCAGGUCUCCAAGGUGAACAGCCUCUAGUCGAUA